AAAGUCAUAUAAUUUUGUUAUGCACAUGUGUUCAUACAGAGCAGAUUAUCAUGGCUCCUUUGCAAGGAUGACACACAAAUGUGUGAAGUGGUCCAUGUUUUU